CCUACGGGGGGCAGCAGUGGGGAAUAUUGGGCAAUGGACGCAAGUCUGACCCAGCAACGCCGCGUGAAGGAAGAAGGCUUUCGGGUUGUAAACUUCUUUUAAGGGGGAAGAGCAGAAGACGGUACCCCUUGAAUAAGCCACGGCUAACUACGUGCCAGCAGCCGCGGUAAUACGUAGGUGGCAAGCGUUGUCCGGAUUUACUGGGUGUAAAGGGCGUGCAGCCGGAGAGACAAGUCAGAUGUGAAAUCUGGAGGCUCAACCUCCAAAUUGCAUUUGAAACUGUUUUUCUUGAGUACUGGAGAGGCAGACGGAAUUCCUUGUGUAGCGGUGAAAUGCGUAGAUAUAAGGAGGAACACCAGUGGCGAAGGCGGUCUGCUGGACAGCAACUGACGGUGAGGCGCGAAAGCGUGGGGAGCAAACAGGAUUAGAUACCCGAGUAGUC
rnacentral:rRNA from 1 species